rnacentral:ncRNA from 1 species
UAUGGAAAUUUGAUGGAAACGGAAAUUCAAAUUAGGAUGGAUUCUUGUUUAUUCUGUCUUCUAAAUCCUACCAAAAUUACAUGUCCUCCGAAUCGAGCUCAUACUUUGCCAAAGUGUAUCUUGGAGAUCCCUGAAAUUGGGAAAUGGCAACUAGGAGGGAAGCUGACAGCUAGGACCGGUAAUAUUAAAGGAAAAACAUUUCUUUAUGGACCCGACACACCUUUUAGAUGCUAAGAGGUAAUGAUUAAUAGAAGCAGUUGGAGGCAUUAGUAUUACAAGGCGAGAGCUGAAAUUCGUAGAACCUCGUAAGACUGACUUAAGCGAAAGUAUUAAGAUCAGAUACCGCCCUAGUUCUAACCAAAAUCGAUGCCAACUAGCAAUUGAAUGUAGUUACUUAUUUCAGGCUCAUUGAGUCGCUUUCAGGGAAACCAAAGUUUUGGGCCUCAGGGGAAGUAUGGUUGCAAAGUUGAAACUUAAAGGAAUUGACUGAAAACUUACCAGGUCUGAACAUAAAUGAGUAAUACACCUUUUAGAUCAGGAAAAUUUCAUAAAGUUGAAAUUUAUUUCUCUUCCUCAAAAGAUUUGCAUAAGCCUAUGCCACUCAUUCAGUCUCAAAAUUAAUUGUAUACUCCCUGAAAGCGACU